rfam:Triticum aestivum genome assembly, contig: Triticum_aestivum_CS42_TGACv1_scaffold_426474_5BS
AUUCUACUCCCUUCGUUGCACAAUACAUGCCUUCUAUUUGUCAAAAUAUAUAUGUAUCUAGACAUGUUUUAGUAUAUAGGUACAUCCAUUUUUGGACAAAUGGAAGUCAAGUAUUUUGGAACGGAGGGAGUACACA